rnacentral:rRNA from 1 species
GACAGAGGAGCCAAGCGUUGUCCGGACUGACUGGGCGUAAAGCGCACGCAGGCGGCGCUGCGCGUGGGGUGUGAAAGCUCUUGGCUUAACUGAGAGAGGCCAUCCCAUACGGCAGUGCUCGAGCGGUGCAGAGGUCCGCGGAAUUGCCGGUGUAGUGGUGAAAUGCGUAGAGAUCGGCAGGAACAGCCCAGGGGAAACCAGCGGACUGGGCAUCAGCUGACGCUCAGGUGCGACAGCGUGGGGAGCGAACCGG